rnacentral:rRNA from 1 species
UACGUAGGGGGCAAGCGUUGUCCGGAUUCAUUGGGCGUAAAGAGCGUGUAGGCGGCCAGGUAGGUCGGUUGUGAAAACUGGAGGCUCAACCUUCAGAGGUCGACCGAAACCAUCUGGCUAGAGUCCGGGAGAGGAGAGUGGGAAUUCCGUGGUGUAGCGGUGAAAUGCGCAGAUAUCAGGAAGAACACCCGUGGCGAAAGCGGCUCUCUGGAACGGUACUGACGCUGAGACGCGAAAGCGUGGGGAGCGAACAGG